rnacentral:ncRNA from 1 species
AGUAAAUGGACAGCCUGUAGUGCGGCAGUACGGGAUGUUGACUGCCGACGAAAGAUGUUUUUCAUCUGCGGUGUGACAUUGCAUCCGCUGC